AGAAUGGGAUCAUUCUCUCUCUCUAGCAUUUUUUUUCAUGUUAGUAAAUUAUUCUUUAUAGUUCCAUAAUCAUUCACACAUACAAUAUCUUCAUUCUCAUUGACACUUGUUUUCAGUAUUUAAUUUUGCAAGGAUGAUUUAUUGUUUUAAUUGUGGUGCAUAGUUAUUUUUUUAUAAUUUUUGUUAUACAUAUUUUUAGUUUAUUUAAGUAUAUUUAUCUUUACUAUGUUAGAAUGAAUAUCAGGUACAUAUAAUAAUGUAAGGCAGUUAUAGCUGAGAUUGGAAAUCCUGUAAUAGAAAAUGAAGUCUUGAACUUUUUUUGUUACAACACUUUUAAAGACAAAGUCCAGGUGUAUUACUGCAAAUGUGAAUAUUUUAGCUAUAAAAAAAAUUAUGAAGAUGUGGUAUGAGUGCCAAAUAGUCAACUCUUUAUCUAAGUCAAAAUGAGUGAAAAUUGAACAACUAUAGGUUAAAGUGCCACCUAGUAUUUUAUCAAUGGUACAGUUUAUUUUGCUAAAAUUUAAAUGACCAUGUUAACAAUUCUCACAAACAUUGGGAUAAAAGACCAGCACAAAUAUCUCAGGCUUUCUGAUAGAUCUUGUUUGGACACCCACAGUCUGGAAACAAUAUUAUUUGACCUGAAGAUAACAGGAACAUACCUCCAUAUAACAUAAAAUUAGAGAGAAAACUGUGUUCUGCAAAGCAUUUCUAUAAUUUUAGCAUUUAUAAGAAUAUUCCAAUCUCAGUUAAAUUUUAAUGAUAAUCCUUUCAAGUACUAUGAAAUCUACAUAAAUGUUAAUUGUAUAUAUAUACUUGUAUUUUGUCAUUUUUUUUUCUUUGUUAAAUAUAUAAUCAUGUUUUUUUCAAACUUUUUGAUAAGGUUGCUGCACUUCUUUUCUUUUCUUAUUUGUUGCAGUGUAGGAGAUCUAAUAGAAUCCCAUAAUAACUAAUAAAAAGUUUAAAUAAAUGCAGAAAUUUAAUUUUAGUUAGAUUGUGUUUUUGUUAUAUUUUUCCUUCAUAGUUCAAGGCUUUUUUUAUAAUAACUACUUAACUACAUUAUCCUUUAUUGUUUGAAAUGCUUGCCAAAGAUUUGUUUUUUCUAAUAGAAAUAUUUUUGGUAAUACCGUAUUUGGUCGUAUAUAAUCCACACUUUUUUAGUAGUUAUGGCAAAUUAGAUUGAGUUAUGGCAGUUUAUUUGAAUUGAUUGAAUUUGUUUUAAAAUUAAUAGAUAAUCAAUUUUUAUCUGUUCAUUAAAUGAGGACACAAAUUAAUCACUGAUGAAAUUAGUCUAUCCAUUCUCAAUCAGUUAUUGAUUCUUUAAGCUUCACAAUUACUUAGCAUUGUCUUUCAUUAAAAAGAGAAAUAUUUGAGAUCAUGAUUUCUAGUCAGAGCUGUGUUUUUGUUUGUUUAUUUUUGUGUUAUAUAUAUGCUGCAGAUAUAGAUGAAUAUAGUGAUAUGAUAUUAUUAAUAAUUUGAUUUGUAAAUGUAUCCAUCUAUGUGCAUUUAUGAUGAAUUAAUACAUUAAAAAUGCUAUGAAAGCAUUGCUUCUUAGCUUAUAUCAAUAAUUUAAUCUUAUGAUAUGUAAAAGUAUUUAAAGGUUACAUAUCUAACUUGUAAGGAUCUAUUCAGUUGUUUUGGAUCUUAACCCUUUCCUCCAUGGAUUUUUUUUUUUACAUACUAGAUUCGCAUAGGAUUUUUUCAAUGAAAAAAAAAUCAUCAGGUUUAAAGUAUUGAUGCAUUGUGAAAACAAAUAUUUCAUCAAUGAAAUUCAAUUCAGAUAUUCUCAUGUCUGAUCCAGACAUUUCGUAUGUCAGAGCAUUUCAACUGAGGUACUACACAAGCGUCAAAAGGCGUCAUUAUGGAGUAAAGGGGGUGGCGUCAAAAGGCGUCAUUAUGGAGGAAAGGGUUAACUUAAGAUAAAUGUUUUGUUAUUUCACAUUAUGCUUACAAUAAUUUCUCUAUAUUAUUUGAAAAUUUGUAGAUUUUGAAAUUUCUAUAUCUUUCUGUGAUGAGUAACUGUUUGACAAUCAAACAAUGAUCUAAUAAACUAUUUUGCUAUGUUCACAAUUUAUUAGAUUUUAAGGAAGUAAUAAGGUAAAAUUAAAACAAGAACUAAAAAUGAUACUAUUAGUCGGAAGAGCAUUAGUAAAGCAACAGAAUAAGCUAAAAAUAUUGGUAAAUUAUGGAGUUUUUUUUUUUAAAUGACGGGUUUAAGGCUGACUCAGACUUUUACCUUAAAUUUGUAUUUGUAUUAUUUGGCUCUCAAAUCAAAAGAAAAGAAAUCUAGAAUCUGCUCAAAGUUUGGUAAAUGACCUUUUAUUAGCUAUUGAAGUUUUAUAUGAAAGAAAAUUAGCAGUUAUGGGGGGAAAUAUUUGACCCUGUAUUGAAGAAAAAAAAAAAGAUCCGAAAAAAUAUUACACAAGUUACUAGAACUCACCUUAGUACAUCCUUAAGGAUUGCAUAAUGGUUCAAUGAUCCUAACAAGCAUUAUUUACAUGUAAAAACAGUCCUUAAACUGCAGUUUGAUAAUCAAAAAAUUAACAGUGCUUAGCUAAUUUUCGUCAUUAUAAUUUUUACUAACAUAAUUUUUUUUACAGGGUAUGGAAAUAUUUUUAAAUUGUCUAAUAUAAUGUUAGCCAUAUUUCCUCUGACCUAUUCCUGUUUUGCAUAAGAAAUAUAAAUUGGGUAAUUUCUACAAAAGUAUUAUAUAUACAAAGGAACUAGAAUAUAAUCAGCAAUUUUAAAACUGAUAUUUUUAUUGCAUAAUUUAUUUCUUUAUUAUUUCUUUUUUUAAACUAAUUCAACACUUGUAUUGUGAGGAGAAAAUUGUUAUCAUAAAUAAAAAUGUGAAAAUGUAUUUGACAUAUUUGUGGCCAGUGUCUUGUUUAAGUAUGGGUCAAGUCUGAUUAGACACAUUGUUUGGACCCUCUAAUAGCAUACAAUGCCAAACAUUCAAUCCUCUCAACAUUCAAAACCAUAGUUGAUAAACAUGACGUAACAUUAUCUUUGUUAUCUUAAGGUAGCACAAUACAAAGAUUUUUUCACUCCCAAUCAGAC
rnacentral:lncRNA from 1 species